rnacentral:rRNA from 2 species
UGGGGAAUAUUGCACAAUGGGGGAAACCCUGAUGCAGCGGCGCCGCGUGAACGAAGAAGGUAUUCGUAUCGUAAAGUUCUGUCCUAUGGGAAGAUAAUGACAGUACCAUAGAAGAAAGCUCCGGCUAAAUACGUGCCAGCAGCCGCGGUAAUACGUAUGGAGCGAGCGUUGUCCGGAAUUAUUGGGCGUAAAGGGUACGCAGGCGGUUUAAUAAGUCGAAUGUUAAAGAUCGGGGCUCAACCCCGUAAAGCAUUGGAAACUGAUAAACUUGAGUAGUGGAGAGGAAAGUGGAAUUCCUAGUGUAGUGGUGAAAUACGUAGAUAUUAGGAGGAAUACCAGUAGCGAAGGCGACUUUCUGGACACAAACUGACGCUGAGGUACGAAAGCGUGGGGAGCAAACAGG